GAUGAACGCUGGCGGCGUGCCUAAUACGUGCAAGUCGAGCGAACGGACGAGAAGCUUGCUUCUCUGAUGCUAGCGGCGGACGGGUGAGUAACACGUGGAUAACCUACCUAUAAGACUGGGAUAACUUCGGGAAACCGUAGCUAAUACCGGAUAAUAUUUUGAACCGCAUGGUUCAAAAGUGAAAGACGGUCUUGCUGUCACUUAUAGAUGGAUCCGCGCUGCAUUAGCUAGUUGGUAAGGUAACGGCUUACCAAGGCAACGAUGCAUAGCCGACCUGAGAGGGUGAUCGGCCACACUGGAACUGAGACACGGUCCAGACUCCUACGGGAGGCAGCAGUAGGGAAUCUUCCGCAAUGGGCGAAAGCCUGACGGAGCAACGCCGCGUGAGUGAUGAAGGUCUUCGGAUCGUAAAACUCUGUUAUUAGGGAAGAACAUAUGUGUAAGUAACUGUGCACAUCUUGACGGUACCUAAUCAGAAAGCCACGGCUAACUACGUG
rnacentral:rRNA from 1 species